rnacentral:rRNA from 1 species
GAUCAAUGGCUCAGGAUGAACGCUAGCUACAGGCUUAACACAUGCAAGUCGAGGGGCAGCAUGGUCUUAGCUUGCUAAGGCCGAUGGCGACCGGCGCACGGGUGAGUAACGCGUAUCCAACCUGCCUUACACUCUUGGACAGCCUUCUGAAAGGGAGAUUAAUACAAGAUGUUAUCAUGAGUAAGCAUUUUCGCAUGAUUAAAGGUUUACCGGUGUAAGAUGGGGAUGCGUU